rnacentral:rRNA from 1 species
GACGAACGCUGGCGGCGUGCUUAACACAUGCAAGUCGAACGGAAAGGCCCUGCUUUUGUGGGGUGCUCGAGUGGCGAACGGGUGAGUAACACGUGAGUAACCUGCCCUUGACUUUGGGAUAACUUCAGGAAACUGGGGCUAAUACCGGAUAGGAGCUCCUGCUGCAUGGUGGGGGUUGGAAAGUUUCGGCGGUUGGGGAUGGACUCGCGGCUUAUCAGCUUGUUGGUGGGGUAGUGGCUUACCAAGGCUUUGACGGGUAGUCGGCCUGAGAGGGUGACCGGCCACAUGGGGACUGAGAUACGGCCCAGACUCCUACGGGAGGCAGCAGUGGGGAAUAUUGCACAAUGGGCGGAAGCCUGAUGCAGCAACGCCGCGUGCGGGAUGACGGCCUUCGGGUUGUAAACCGCUUUCGCCUGUGACGAAGCGUGAGUGACGGUAAUGGGUAAAGAAGCACCGGCUAACUACGU